UGAAUACGAGAUGCUACGGCAUCGAAGCAGUCUAUGUCAUACUUCCAAGAAAAGCUUGCACUGUCAUAAACAAAUAAUGCCUGUACCAUAACCGACACAGGUGGGUAGGUAGAGUAUACUAAGGGGCGCGAGAUAACUCUCUCUAAGGAACUCGGCAAAAUGACUCCGUAACUUCGGGAGAAGGAGUGCCUUAUUUUAUAAGGUUGCAAUAACAAGAUCCAAGCAACUGUUUACCAAAAACACAGGUCUCCGCUAAGUCGUAAGACGAUGUAUGGGGGCUGACGCCUGCCCAGUGCCAGAAGGUUAAAGAAGUUGGUUAGCAUUAGCGAAGCUGAUAACUGAAGCCCUGGUGAACGGCGGCCGUAACAAUAACGGUCCUAAGGUAGCGAAAUUCCUUGUCGGGUAAGUUCCGACCCGCACGAAAGGCGUAAUGAUUUGGAUACUGUCUCGGAGAGGGGCUCGGUGAAAUAGACUUGUCUGUGAAGAUGCGGACUACCUGCACCAGGACAGAAAGACCCUAUGAAGCUUUACUGUAACUUGAGAUUGAAAUUGGACUUUAUUUGCGCAGUAUAGGUGGGAGACGUUGAAAAUAUUCUUGCGGGAAUAUUGGAGUCAUCAGUGAGAUACCACUCUUAUAAUGUUAGAUUUCUAACUUUGUAUCAUUAUCUGGUCAAAGAACAGUCUCAGGCGGGCAGUUUGACUGGGCGGUCGCCUCCCAAACGGUAACGGAGGCGCACAAAGGUUUCCUCUGAACGUGUAGAAAUCGUAUCUAGAGUGUAAAGGCAUAAGGAAGCUUGACUGUGAGACCUACAAGUCGAGCAGGGACGAAAGUCGGUCUUAGUGAUCUGACGGUGCUGAGUGGAAAGGCCGUCACUCAACGGAUAAAAGUUACUCUAGGAUAACAGGCUGAUCUCCCCCAAGAGUUCACAUCGACGGGGAGGUUUGGCACCUCGAUGUCGGCUCAUCGCAUCCUGGGGCGGUAGUACGUCCCAAGGGUUGGGCUGUUCGCCCAUGAAAGCGGUACGCGAGCUGGGUUCAGAACGUCGUGAGACAGUUCGGUCCAUAUCCGGUGUAGGCGUUAGAAUAUUGAGAGGAGCCUUCUUUAGUACGAGAGGACCGAGAAGGACAUACCUCUGGUGUACCAGUUAUCGUGCCAACGGUAAACGCUGGGUAGCUAUGUAUGGAGAGGAUAACCGCUGAAAGCAUCUAAGUGGGAAGCCCACCUCAAGAUAAGUAUUCUC
rnacentral:rRNA from 1 species